rnacentral:ncRNA from 1 species
AGCAAGCCUGAUGCAGCGACGCCGCGUGAGGGAUGACGGCCUUCGGGUUGUAAACCUCUUUCAGUAGGGAAGAAGCCUCUCGGGGUGACGGUACCUGCAGAAGAAGCGCCGGCUAACUACGUGCCAGCAGCCGCGGUAAUACGUAGGGGCGCAAGCGUUGUCCGGAAUUAUUGGGCGUAAAGAGCUCGUAGGCGGUCUGUCGCGUCUGCUGUGAAAAACGCGGGGGCUCAACCCCCGCGCCUGCAGUGGGGUACGGGCAGACUAGAGUGCGGUAGGGGGAGACUGGAAUUCCUGGUGUAGCGGUGGAAUGCGCAGAUAUCAGGAGGAACACCGGUGGCGAAGGCGGGUCUCUGGGCCGUUACUGACGCUGAGGAGCGAAAGCAUGGGGGAGCGAACAGGAUUAGAUACCCUGGUAGUCCAUGCCGUAAACGUUGGGCACUAGGUGUGGGACCCAUUCCACGGGUUCCGUGCCGCAGCUAACGCAUUAGUGCCCCGCCUGGGGAGUACGGCC